UACUGGAAUCACACUGUCUCCUGUCAGCUUUCUCUCCCUCCCCCGGCCCUCCUGCUGAUGAGAGACAGGAGCGAUGGAUGGUCUGAGUUAGCGGGGUCCCGGCACCACCCAGCGCAAAGGCACUGCACUCACGCACGCCAUGCACAUGCUGGCUCACCUCCUCCAUCCCAUGCCUCCCCUGUCUCCAGCAUUCCCUCUGGAAUACAUCAGCACUGUUGCCUUUGAGGCUGGCCUGCUUGAAUGCACACCUGAGCUCCGGAUUCACAGAGUCUCACUCUAUCGCCAGGCUGGAGUGGUGCAGUGGC
rnacentral:lncRNA from 1 species